GUGCUUGUUUUGGCAACACAUAUACUAAAAUUGGAACAAUACAGAAAAGAUCAGCAUGGCCUCUCCGCAAAGGAUGACAUGAAAAUUUGUGAAGUGUUUCAUAUUUUA
rnacentral:snRNA from 1 species